GAUGAACGCUGGCGGCGUGCCUAAUACAUGCAAGUAGAACGCUGAAGGAGGAGUUUGCUCUUCUGGAUGAGUUGCGAACGGGUGAGUAACGCGUAGGUAACCUGCCUGGUAGCGGGGGAUAACUAUUGGAAACGAUAGCUAAUACCGCAUGACAACAGUUAUUGCAUGAUAACUGUUUAAAAGGGGCAACUGCUCCACUACCAGAUGGACCUGCGUGGUAUUAGCUAGUUGGUGAGGUAACGGCUCACCAAGGCGGCGAUACAUAGCCGACCUGAGAGGGGGAUCGGCCAGCAUGGGACUGAGACCCGGCCCAGACUCCCACGGGAGGCAGCAGUAGGGAAUCUUCGGAAAUGGGCGGAAGUCUGACCGAGCAACGCCGCGUGAGUGAAGAAGGUUGUCGGAUCGUAAAGCUCUGUUGUAAGGGAAGAACGAGUGUGAGAGUGGAAAGUUCACACUGUGACGGUAUCUUACCAGAAAGGAACGGCUAACUACGUG
rnacentral:rRNA from 1 species